rnacentral:rRNA from 1 species
CAAAGGUGAGCCAGUACAGGAUGGACCCGCGUCUGAUUAGCUAGUUGGUAAGGUAACGGCUUACCAAGGCGACGAUCAGUAGCCGACCUGAGAGGGUGAUCGGCCACAUUGGAACUGAGACACGGUCCAAACUCCUACGGGAGGCAGCAGUGGGGAAUAUUGCACAAUGGGCGAAAGCCUGAUGCAGCAACGCCGCGUGAGUGAUGAAGGCCUUCGGGUCGUAAAACCCUGUCCUCAAGGAAGAUAAUGACGGUACUUGAGGAGGAAGCCCCGGCUAACUACGUGCCAGCAGCCGCGGUAAUACGUAGGGGGCUAGCGUUAUCCGGAUUUACUGGGCGUAAAGGGUGCGUAGGCGGUCUUUCAAGUCAGGAGUGAAAGGCUACGGCUCAACCGUAGUAAGCUCUUGAAACUGGGAGACUUGAGUGCAGGAGAGGAGAGUGGAAUUCCUAGUGUAGCGGUGAAAUGCGUAGAUAUUAGGAGGAACACCAGUUGCGAAGGCGGCUCUCUGGACUGUAACCGACGCUGAGGCACGAAAGCGUGGGGAGCAAACAGGAUUAGAUACCCUGGUAGUCCACGCUGUAAACGAUGAGUACUAGGUGUCGGGGGUUACCCCCUUCG